rnacentral:lncRNA from 1 species
CAAGAGUCAUAAAAGAAAGCACAAUAUUUUUAAUACACUUAGAAAAAUAGACUUUGAAACUACAAGUAAGAAAGAGUUUAAGAGAAGUCUGGAAAAAAAAAGGGAAGAGUCUGUUGAAGGUGCAAUCUUCUGUAACAUCUCUAUGCUUAUACCAUAGAGAUCAGGUUUCCCGCCCCCAUCUUUGGGUGAUAAAUUCAGACUCCCGGUGGAUUCCCAAAACUGUGGGUAGUACUGAUCCUUCUAUAUGUUUGUCCUAUUCAUGCCUAUGAUAAAGUUUAAUUUAUAAAUUAGGCACAGUCAGAGGUCAACAAUGACUAACAAUAAAAUAGAACAAUUGUAACA